rnacentral:rRNA from 1 species
AGCGUAGACGGCUUUGCAAGUCUGAUGUGAAAGGCGGGGGCUCAACCCCCUGGACUGCAUUGGAAACUGUGAGGCUUGAGUGCCGGAGAGGUAAGCGGAAUUCCUAGUGUAGCGGUGAAAUGCGUAGAUAUUAGGAGGAACACCAGUGGCGAAGGCGGCUUACUGGACGGUAACUGACGUUGAGGCUCGAAAGCGUGGGGAGCAAACA